ACACACACACACAGAGGCAGGGACACAGGUCGAGGGAGAAGCAGGCUCCUUGCGGGGGGCCGGACGUGGGACUCGAUCCGGGGACCUGGGAUCCCGCCCUGGGCGGAGGCAGACGCCCAGCCGCUCAGCCCCGGGCCGGAGCGUUUCUUAUGCAGGCGCUGCAUUCCGCCCCAUGAAAGGAAGCGGGAUGUAUCUUAGUUAAAUUGCAUACUCACCAUCGCCCUCGUUGGGGAUCUGCCUUCAGCUACAUUUCAUGUUUCCAAGGGAAGACCCCGCAGUCCAGGGAGCCCCGCCGCGCGGGCAUCAGCUGCUCAGCGGAGGAAGCCCCCCGCCCCCCAUGCGCACUGUCCCCCCACCCCGAGUCCAGGGCCCCUGCCGGAGCUCACCCGGGGGCCCGAGGCGCAGAGGCGGAAUGCAGCGGGGUUCUUGCGUGCUGCGCCGGGAGCCCGGCCGCGGGCGGCUGUCCCCACUGGUCCCCGGGAGCCUGCAGUGUCCACCCAACGACACGCUCCGCAGGGGCCCCUUGAACUUGAAUCCUUCCGUUGGUUCCCUGAUGAUACGUUCUUACUUUGGGCGUUGAGUCUUUUUUUCCCUCAGUGAUCCUGGACGUGAAGGGCUAAAUCCAGGGUUCUUUACAGGUAAGGACCCCAUUCUGUCCCCAGGGAGCCCUAACACGGACGGCCUCCGUUUCUCCCCCGGGCGCGUGGACCCCAGAUCGGCUCCCUCCGCCCUCACUUCGCGGCGUGUCCGAGGAACCGCCCACCGGUGAAAUCAAUUCCGCUUGCAAGUCUAGGAUGCAGGCUCGGGGGUUUGCGGGGUUUUAAGUUUUUAAAUUGAAGUGCUGAUUUUAACCCCAAGUUCCUCCCUCAGCAGAAAGUGCAGCCACUUUUAUUCAUCUAUUUAUUUUUGCCUGUGUCAGUUGGCCUAGGCCAGCAAUGCUCCCGGCCCCAGACCCACGGAGGGGUGGGUAGUUGAGAAAUGAAGGAAUCCCAGCAGCUCCGGGCCCUCGGCUCCAUCAUGGGCCUUCAGGAGCCCCAGAGGAAAGGAGGAAGCAGAAGAAUGUUCCGAUUCAAGGGCCGCCAAUAUAAACCUGGAUCUUCAGGGAGCAACGAAAUCGAAGAGUCUGACCUCUCGGCUCCCCGGCAAGUGGGGUGACCAGAUAAUGUCAUUCCUGGAUGAAAGCUCCCCAUGGCCCCAUCUCCUUUAGAAGGAAAUCCAGAGGCCUGCACAAGCUGCCCUGCCUUCAAAACCCGUCUCCUCUGGGCCUUCAGAUGUGCAGCCACACCUGCAGCAGGCCUGUCAUCUCCCUGGGUGCUGCCUGGGAUAGUUCCCCUCCAGGCAGCCUCUUUUUUGUUUGAGGUCUCACACUCACAUUUCACUUACUCAGAGACUGUCUCUGGCCACCUGGAUGUCAUGGUCCUAACCUCUCCGACCCUUAGGCUUCUUAUCUUUAAAAUGGGGCUAGUAAAGUCUACUGUGAUGGUUAAUCUUAUAUGGGAACUUGGCUGAGCUACAGCACCCAGGUAUUUGGCUAAACAAUAUUCUGGAUGUUUCUGUGAGAUUGUUUUCAGAUGAGAUUAACAUUUACAUUGGUCGCCUUGGGGAAAGCAGAUUGCCCUCUGUGAAGUGGGUGGGCUGUAUCCAAUCAGUUGAAGGCACAGAUAGGCUAAAAGACUUUCCUCUCCUGAGCAAGAAGGCAUUCAACCAGCAGGCAGCCCACAACAUCAGCUCUUCCCUAGUCUCCAGGCUUCCAGCCCACCCUGCAGAGCUUGGACUUGCCCGCCUUUGUCGUAUAAGCAAAUUCCUUAAAAUAAACCUCUGUAUGUAUGUAUAAA